GGGGGCCUACGGGGGGCAGCAGUGAGGAAUAUUGGUCAAUGGCCGAGAGGCUGAACCAGCCACGUCGCGUGAGGGAUGACGGCGCUACGGGUUGUAAACCUCUUUUGUCGGGGAGCAAGACCCGCCACGAGUGGCGGAGCGAGAGUACCCGAAGAAAAAGCAUCGGCUAACUCCGUGCCAGCAGCCGCGGUAAUACGGAGGAUGCGAGCGUUAUCCGGAUUUAUUGGGUUUAAAGGGUGCGCAGGCGGACCAUCAAGUCAGCGGUAAAAUCGUGGGGCCCAACCCCAUCCGGCCGUUGAAACUGG
rnacentral:rRNA from 1 species